rnacentral:rRNA from 1 species
UACGUAGGGACCGAGCGUUGUCCGGAAUCAUUGGGCGUAAAGAGCGUGUAGGCGGCUUGCUAAGUCUUGCGUGAAAUCUCGAGGCUUAACCUCGAGCUGUCGGCGGAAACCAUCUGGCUAGAGUCCGGAAGAGGAGAAUGGAAUUCCCGGUGUAGCGGUGAAAUGCGCAGAUAUCGGGAAGAACACCCGUGGCGAAGGCGGUUCUCUGGGACGGUACUGACGCUGAGACGCGAAAGCGUGGGGAGCGAACAGG